AUUGAACGCUGGCGGCAUGCCUUACACAUGCAAGUCGAACGGCAGCACGGGAGCAAUCCUGGUGGCGAGUGGCGAACGGGUGAGUAAUAUAUCGGAACGUGCCCAGUCGUGGGGGAUAACGUAGCGAAAGCUACGCUAAUACCGCAUACGAUCUAUGGGAUGAAAGCGGGGGAUCUUCGGACCUCGCGCCAUUAGAUGAGCCUAGGUCGGAUUAGCUAGUUGGUGAGGUAAUGGCUCACCAAGGCGACGAUCCGUAACUGGUCUGAGAGAAUGAUCAGUCACACUGGAACUGAGACACGGUCCAGACUCCUACGGGAGGCAGCAGUGGGGAAUAUUGGACAAUGGGCGAAAGCCUGAUCCAGCCAUGCCGCGUGUGUGAAGAAGGUCUUCGGAUUGUAAAGCACUUUAAGUUGGGAGGAAGGGUAGUAACCUAAUACGUUGCUACUUUGACGUUACCGACAGAAUAAGCACCGGCUAACUUCGUG
rnacentral:rRNA from 1 species